rnacentral:lncRNA from 1 species
GAGGUUGCGGCUGGACAAGCCUCUGCAAAAGCCGGGAUAUCCGUGAAGUGCCGAGGAAGCUGUUAGCGGAUGCUGCCAGAUCCAGUUCCCACAGAUUGACUCCUCCAGCCCUGAGAAACAAGGGUCUGACCUGCAAGCUGCAAACUCAAGCUCCCUCAGCAUCUCCAGAACUUCGGAGCACGAAAACAACAGACAGUGAACCAGAGCAGACAGUCCUCUCCUGAAAAAGGGGCUUGACGAAAUAGCUCAUCGGCUUCUUUCCGUGAUAACCACAGCAAGUAAGGAGAGUUUAGGAUGGUGUUUUCCUGGUCUCGGCGGCCUAUUUGGGAGCUGUUAACUAAGUAAGUUUGCCCCCAGUUGAGAAACCUCUUCCGUUCUGUUUGUCAGAAAAAAGUCAAU